rnacentral:rRNA from 1 species
UACAGAGGGUGCGAGCGUUAAUCGGAAUUACUGGGCGUAAAGCGCGCGUAGGCGGCUUUGCAAGUCGGGCGUGAAAUCCCCGGGCUUAACCUGGGAACUGCACUUGAAACUACGAUGCUGGAGUAUGGCAGAGGGAGGUGGAAUUCCACGUGUAGCGGUGAAAUGCGUAGAGAUGUGGAGGAACACCGAUGGCGAAGGCAGCCUCCUGGGCCAAUACUGACGCUCAUGCACGAAAGCGUGGGGAGCAAACAGG